AAGGUCUCCUUGUCCAGGAUGAGAAGGAAGCGGUGGAGCUCCAUCAGGAGCUGGUCCAGCACUGGAAGCACAGACAGACAAGAGAGUCUCAGAGAGAUUGACUCAGAUGGCCUUUUGGAUUGGGGGACCCUGGGAAACGAAGUCAGUUGACAGGACAGGGAGGUCUGCAGCAGGCCUUCUCUGUGGGCUUUGGGUUGGCCAGACGCCCAUUGCACAUGCAAUACCGAUCACAAUGGACUUGGCAGCAGGGAAGGUGUGACCAACAUGGAUGUGGCACUGGCGUCUCCCUGGAGGCCGGACAGUUUCUCUCGACUAAUUCUAUGACUCGGAGGCACUCCAAGCAGUCUACCAAUGACAAGUCCUGCAGCACACCACCCUGCGCCUGAUAGGUCACUCCUACCCAGCUCUAUUCUCAUUCAUGAGUUCACAUAAACAGAAACACACACAUUUCAAAUUUUGCACAUUUAAAAGUGCAUUCUAAAAAAAUUAGGGUUCAUCAAAUUAAUUACAUGAUUUCAGU